GGCCAGACUCCUACGGGAGGCAGCAGUGGGGAAUAUUGCACAAUGGGGGAAACCCUGAUGCAGCAACGCCGCGUGAGUGAAGAAGCGUUUCGGCGCGUAAAGCUCUGUCAGCGGGGAAGAAAGAAGACGGUACCCGACCAAGAAGCCCCGGCUAACUACGUGCCAGCAGCCGCGGUAAUACGUAGGGGGCAAGCGUUAUCCGGAUUUACUGGGUGUAAAGGGAGCGUAGACGGCAGCGCAAGUCUGGAGUGAAAUGCCGGGGCCCAACCCCGGAACUGCUUUGGAAACUGUGCAGCUGGAGUGCAGGAGAGGUAAGCGGAAUUCCUAGUGUAGCGGUGAAAUGCGUAGAUAUUAGGAGGAACACCAGUGGUGAAGGCGGCUUACUGGACUGUAACUGACGUUGAGGCUCGAAAGCGUGGGGAGCAAACAGGAUUAGAUACCCGAGUAA
rnacentral:rRNA from 1 species